GGAAAGGGAAGCUGAAAUCAGGGAGUGAAUCGCAAGCUGAGAAAGAUGAUUUACAGAAAGUGGUCCCUCCUCACCGGACCGGCAGCUAUUGUCGGCGGCAUAGUUGGCACCAUCGUUGUCGCUAAUCUCGUUAUCGAUAAUCCGUUUCUUAAAAGAGAGAAAAGGAACCUUGCUGAUCAACAUGCAACGAAGUAGGAGAAAAGAUCUCAAGGGGUUUAAAGUCGGGAUGUCUUCUAAUUUUUGUUAUGUGAUCUCUCUGUGUGCUGUUUUGCGAGAGUUGUGCUUCUGAGUGAAUAAUUCUUGGAUUCUGAAUGGAGUCUGGGGUAUGGAUCCUUGUCCAGAUGGCUGUAUCUGAUGUUUUGCUUACAGAAGUUUAAGAGGACCUGCUCUUCCUUUCUGAAAAGCCAGAUACCAUGUUGUUUUAUCUGUU